rnacentral:rRNA from 1 species
AAUUAAAUGAGUUUGAUCCUGGCUCAGAAUAAACGCUAAUAGUAUGCUUUACACAUGCAAGUCGAACGAAUGUAUUCGUGGCAAACGGGUGAGUAAAAAACAGAAUUUAACCUUUUAGAGAAAAAUAAAACUUUAUUAAUUUUGUUAACAAAAUUAAUUUAAAAUAAUUAAAUUAUUUAAGUUAAUUUGUCAUAAAUUUAAAAAUUUUAAUAAAUUUAUCAUUUGUAUUUUAAAUGCUAAAAGAUAAAACUGUUUAAGAUUAGGUAGUUGGUAAAAAGCUUACCAAGCCUUUGAUCUUUAGUUGGUCUUAGCGGAUAAUCAACCACACUGGAACUGAGACAAGGUCCAGGCUAAUUUUUUGGCCAGCAGUGAGGAAUAUUGGACAAUGAACGAAAGUUUGAUCCAGCAAUACUAUAUGAAUGAUGAAGGCUAAUUUGGUCGUAAAGUUCUUUCAACUAAUUAUGAUAAUGACAUAACUUAAAGAAGCAGUCCCGGCAAAUCUCGUGCCAGCAGCCGCGGUAAUACGGGAGGGGCAAGCGUUAUUCAAAAUAACUGGGCGUAAAGAGUCCGUAGAUUGUAAAAUAAGUUAUUUGUUAAAGUAUAAAGCCUAACUUUAUAAGAACAUUUAAAACUAUUUUACUAGAGUUUAUUUCAGAAAAGUAGAAUUUUAUAUGAAAGGAUAAACCCUGUAGAUAUAUAAAGGAAUAUCGAAAGUGAAGACAACUUUUUAGUAAAAACUGACAUUGAGGGACGAAAGUAUAGGUAGCAAACAGGAUUAGAUACCCUGGUAGUCUAUACUGUAAAUUAUGAGUGUUGUAAUUUAAAAAUAAUUAGAUUUUUUAAGCUAACGCUAUAAACACUCCGCCUGAGGAGUACGAUCGCAAGAUUAGAACUCAAAGGAAUUGACGGGGGCCUACAACAAGUGGUGGAGCAUGUGGUUUAAUGCGAUAAUCCGCGCAAAACCUUACCAACCUUUGAAUAAAAAAAAUUAUUUUAAAUAGUUUAUAAAAUAAUCUUACAUUUUUAUAAUAUUUUUUUACAGGUGUUGCACGUCUGCCGUCAGCUCGUGUCGUAAGAUGUUUGGUUCAUUCCUUUAACGAGCGCAACUCUUAUUUUUAUAUUUUGUGUAUUAAAUUUUUUGUUUUUAAAUACAAAAAUUUACUAUAAAAAGACUAGCAAUGAUAAAUUGAAGGAAGAAGAAUUAAGUCAAGUCACUGUGGCCUUUAUAGGUUGGGCUACACACGUGCUACAAUGAAAAAUACAAUAAGUUACUAAAAUUAAUUGUUAAAGUUAAUCUUUAAAACUUUUCUUAGUUCAGAUUGUAAGCUGAAACUCGCUUAUAUGAAGUUGGAAUCACUAGUAAUCGCAAAUCAGAAUGUUGCGGUGAAUAUGUAUCUUGGCCUUGUACACACCGCCCGUCACAUGCAAAAAGUUAAUUUUGCUUGAAACUUUAAUUUCAUUAAUUUAAAAUUUAAUGUAAAAAUUAAAGUUAUUGAAAAAUUGCCAAUUUGGAUGAAGUCGUAACAAGGUAGCUGUACGGGAACGUGUAGCUGGAAUAAAUGAAAU